rnacentral:rRNA from 1 species
ACUCAAAUGAAUUGACGGGGGCCCGCACAAGCGGUGGAUCAUGUGGUUUAAUUCGAAGCAACGCGCAAAACCUUACCUGGGUUUGACAUCCCCGGACAAACGUAGAAAUACGUCUUCUGUAGCAAUACAGCCGGGAGACAGGUGCUGCAUGGCUGUCGUCAGCUCGUGUGGUGACAUGUUGGGUUAAGUCCCGCAACGAGCGCAACCCUUGUCUUUAGUUGCCAGCAUUCAGUUGGGCACUCUAGAGAGACUGCCGUGGUUAACACGGAGGAAGGUGGGGAUGACGUCAAGUCCUCAUGGCCUUUAUAUCCAGGGCGACACACGUGAUACAAUGGAUGACACAAAGGGAUGCGAACCCGCGAGGGGGAGCGAAUCUCAAAAAGUCAUUCUCAGUUCGGAUUGGAGUCUGCAACCCGACUCCAUGAAGCUGGAAUCGCUAGUAAUCGCGGAUCAGAACGCCGCGGUGAAUACGUUCCCGGGCCUUGUACACACCGCCCGU